AGAUAUUUAAGAUUUUAACCAGAGUUUAUAUAUCAAUUCAAAAAAUGUUUUUUUAAGUAUUCCAAAAGAACCCCAAAUUUUUUUUGUCAUUGCAAAAAGCAGAAGAUCCAACUUAAGAAGAUAUUUACAAAAUACAGAAAAGAAUGUAUUCAGUAUUGCAUGACAUUGUGAUCAAAAACACAGAUUGAUUGUAUUAAUGUAUUAUUUGUUAACAUCACAAUCUGAUUUCUAUCCAGAAUGUGACGAAGCCAGAAGUGACCUUUGUUAACCAUUUGAAGUGCAUUUGCCAUUAAAUAAUCCAUUGCAGGGUUGAAUUCUUUGGAUAUGGUUUUUCUAAUCAGUAUCAUGAAACCGUUGUUAACCAUUUCAUGCAACUUCUUUCUCCAAAGUUUGCAUUUGAUCCCAAUGUCCUGAUCUUGGGCCUUUUCAAGAUGGCCAAUAAUAUAUUCUCCCAUCUCCAAAUGAUCUUUUCUCAGUCCAGAUGAUUUUGCCAGUUUCUUCAACUUUUUAACACCAGAUUGGACAUAUUCGUUCUUGAAAUCCUCAGGAUCCAGUCCUUUGAAAUAUGGACUGUCUAAUUUGUAUUUGAUUUUGUCACAUUUUUCAAUAAUUGGUUUAAAAAAUGUAUUUACUUUACCCUUGGGAUAGAUGUCAGAAUACUGAAGACAAUUAAAAAAAUCUGAACAAACUCCCCAAGGCCAUUUGUAAACCACCUCAGUACAAAAUCCAUAUUUAUUGUGCCACUGAUCUGCUGUGAUUUGCAGUAGCAACAUACACGGAUCUCUGUUGUCUUCUUUUCUCAACUUACACGGGCUGUAAUGCGUGUAGAUGAAAACAUGUUUAACAUUGUUUCCAUUGGUCUGAAAAUAAUGAUCAAGAACUGCGAUUAAGAUUUCCUCACUAUGUAAUAGAUAUUCUAUGGUAGAAUCGGUAUUAUUCAUUGUUAAAGUAUGUGGCUGAAUCAAAGGGGAAAUCAGACAGUCACCGUUUUUGUAAAACACAAUCGCAAAUGCGUAUUGUUUUUUCAUUCCUGUUUGAAUCAUACGGUCACAUUUGUCUAUGAAAGACUGCGAGGGCCAACCUGCACCAACUUCAACAUUAUUUACUUCUUUUUUUUUUUUCAAAUACCAUUUCAUUAUGUCAAUAAGGAGUUUAGUUUUUCUUUUGCAAUGAUUUUUGCUUCUUUCUUUUAUCCUAAUU
rnacentral:lncRNA from 1 species